rnacentral:misc_RNA from 1 species
GAAAUGCGAUAAGUAGUGUGAAUUGCAGAAUUCAGUGAAUCAUCGAAUCUUUGAACGCACAUUGCGCCCCUCGGCAUUCCGUGGGGCAUGCCUGUUCGAGCGUCAUCUACACCCUCAAGCUCUGCUUGGGUUGGGCGUCUGUCCCGCCUCCGCGCGCGGACUCGCCCCAAAUGCAUUGGCAGCGGUUCCUUGCCCCCCUCUUUGCGCAGCACAUUGCCAUUCGAGGCGGCGGCGGCCCGCGUCCAACAAGCUCAACCCCCCCGUCUUUGACCUCGGAUCAGGUAGGGAUACCCGCUGAACUUAAGC